GCCUUUUUCGCAGCAGAAAAAGGCAACAGAAAGCGAAGAGUGAGAGGUUUAUCGCUUAUUGCCAUCAGAAUUCUGGACAAAAGUGAAAUCUGUUGCUGUACUGUAUUUGACACACUUUUUGUGUCCAACAUUCACGUUAAAGGUAAGUUUGAUGUCUAAGAUUAAAGGUAGCGUUAAGUGGUUCAAUGAAUCUAAAGGUUUCGGUUUCAUUACCCCUGAAGAUGGCAGCAAAGAUGUUUUCGUUCAUUUCUCUGCUAUUUCCAGCAACGGUUUCAAAACCCUUGCUGAAGGCCAACGCGUAGAGUUCGAAAUCACCAAUGGUGCCAAAGGCCCGUCGGCUGCUAACGUUAUCGCUAUCUGACUUUAGCCGAUUGAUUGAAAAAACCCGCCGAAGCGGGUUUUUUUUU
rnacentral:sRNA from 1 species